CCUACGGGAGGCAGCAGUGAGGAAUAUUGGACAAUGGGCGCAAGCCUGAUCCAGCCAUGCCGCGUGCAGGAAGACGCAUCUAUGGUGUGUAAACUGCUUUUGUACGGGAAGAAACACUCCCUCGUGAGGGAGCUUGACGGUACCGUAAGAAUAAGGAUCGGCUAACUCCGUGCCAGCAGCCGCGGUAAUACGGAGGAUCCAAGCGUUAUCCGGAAUCAUUGGGUUUAAAGGGUCCGUAGGCGGUUUAAUAAGUCAGUGGUGAAAGCCCAUCGCUCAACGAUGGAACGGCCAUUGAUACUGUUAGACUUGAAUUACUAGGAAGUAACUAGAAUAUGUAGUGUAGCGGUGAAAUGCUUAGAUAUUACAUGGAAUACCAAUUGCGAAGGCAGGUUACUACUAGUGGAUUGACGCUGAUGGACGAAAGCGUGGGGAGCGAACAGGAUUAGAUACCCUGGUAGUCCACGCCGUAAACGAUGGAUACUAGCUGUUGGGCGCAAGUUCAGUGGCUAAGCGAAAGUGAUAAGUAUCCCACCUGGGGAGUACGUUCGCAGAAUGAAACUCAAAUGAAUUGACGG
rnacentral:rRNA from 1 species